AUUGAACGCUGGCGGCAGGCCUAACACAUGCAAGUCGAGCGGAGCGGCGGACGGGUGAGUAAUGCCUAGGAAUCUGCCUGGUAGUGGGGGAUAACGUCCGGAAACGGGCGCUAAUACCGCAUACUAUCAGAUGAGCCUAGGUCGGAUUAGCUAGGUGGUGGGGUAAAGGCCUACCAAGGCGACGAUCCGUAACUGGUCUGAGAGGAUGACCAGCCACACGGGGACGGAGCCAGGGCCCAGAGUCCUACGGGAGGCAGCAGUGGGGAAGUUGGGACAAGGGGGGAAACCCGGAGCUAGCCAUCCCGCGUGUGGGAUGAAGGCCUUCGGGGUGUAAGGCACUUUUGGCAGGAAAGCGGUACCUGCAGAAUAAGCACGGGCUAACUACGUGCCAGCAGCCGCGGUAAUAC
rnacentral:rRNA from 1 species